rnacentral:lncRNA from 1 species
GGAACAACAGUAUGUACCUCGGGUUCCUGGCCAAGUUUCCAUUUGCAUGGUUUCAUUUGCUCCAUUCUGUCAAGUUAUAUGUCCUAAGGAUAUAAUUUAGCAGACUGCUGGUCCCUGAUACAGGACGCAGCCAAAUGCUUUGCUGCAUGUAGCCUUCUGACUAGGGAGUGGCAGCUUGAGAAACCCCGAUGCCUGUAAGCAGCAAAAUCAUAGGGGAAGAGAUUUAGAGUUGUGGAGGAGUUUUCCUAAAGUGUUGUCUUUUAUAACUGCUCCGGAGAGUACUAACUUGUUACCUUAUAAUCUCUCAUCCUUGAGCAGGUUCUUUGGCUGUGGGUUAACCCUGUCAGGAAUAUCAAAGCAUGUGACAUGCUUGGCCACAGAAGUUGGUACGUGUGGGGUCUCUCACAAGUUCCUGUCAACACUUCAGCAUUGCAGCUCUCCAGAAUGGAUAACGUUGCUGCCAUUCAUUCUGAGUGGCAUCGUGGCCUCAUUUACAUGGGUUUUACGCUAUCUCAGUUAUCUCAACCUUUUGCUACAGUCAGUUCUUCAUUAUCUGAAGUCCAAAGAAGGAACACAAGAUCUGUUUUACUUCAUCGUGUCGCAACCUCGGUCAUGGACUCGGAAAGCAGACAGCAGCUCCGGUGUGAAAUCAUGAGCCUCUUCUUGCGUCUGCCUCCAGAGCGACUACCCACGUCCCUCACACUGCACAGGCUGCAACAUCCCCGAAACCAAAGACCAGCAGAGUUAUCCAUCUCGCAGUACUCAGAAUGUAGCUCGUUAUCAAUUAUAAAUAUGCAUAUGUGGAUGUGCUUGAACACCUUUAUUCACCUGCAUAAAUCAACACAAGACACACAAUUGCCAAAUGUAUUCACCUAUAAUGAACACCUACCUGGAUACACGGCUGGUUUGAAACAAGACCAAGCAGGCGAUUAUGCAGAGCAAUAA